rnacentral:rRNA from 1 species
ACUCAAAUGAAUUGACGGGGGCCCGCACAAGCGGUGGAGCAUGUUGUUUAAUACGUUACUAACCGUAGAACCUUACCAGGGUUUGACAUCUGCUGACCGUCCGAGAGAUCGGAUUUUCCCCGCAAGGGGACAGCAAGACAGGUGUUGCAUGGCUGUCGUCAGCUCGUGUCGUGAGAUGUUGGGUUAAGUCCCGCAACGAGCGCAACCCUCACCCCAUGUUGCCAGCGAGUGAAGUCGGGAACUCUUGGGGAACUGCCUGUGUAAGCAGGAGGAAGGUGGGGAUGAUGUCAAGUCAGCAUGGCCCUUACAUCCUGGGCUACAAACAUGCUACAAUGGACGGUAGACAAAGGGAACCGAGGCCGCAAGGCGGAGGCAAUCUCAAAAAUCCGUUCCCAGUUCAGAUCGCAGGCUGCAACUCGCCUGCGUGAAGUCGGAAUCGCUAGUAACCGCCGAUCAGCCAAGCGGCGGUGAAUACGUUCCCGGGCCUUGUACACACCGCCCGU